GAUAAGCUUGUCAAUAGACGAAGAACGGCGGUGACAUCAACAGCACAACUGUCCUGGCACGUACACAAGCUCACCUGCUCGUACACAAGCUGUUGACCAAGGCACGUGAGCAUAUCUGUGCUUAUGAUUAUUUAAACUGGGCACGCGCGGAUGGACGGUCAUGGAAUCCGCAACAACAGAUAUUGAGGUGGCAGAGCCGUUACUUGGGCCAGCGGGCAGUGCCGGUGAUGGUCCGGCUCUACUGUUCCCAGCACCCCCACCCCCACCUCCGAAACGCCAACGCCGUGGCCCUUCCUCCGC
rnacentral:lncRNA from 1 species